rnacentral:rRNA from 1 species
UACGAAGGGGGCUAGCGUUGUUCGGAAUUACUGGGCGUAAAGGGCGCGUAGGCGGUCCUUCAAGUCAGGCGUGAAAGCCCCGGGCUCAACCUGGGAACCGCGCUUGAGACUGGCGGGCUAGAGUUCGGGAGAGGAUGGUGGAAUUCCCAGUGUAGAGGUGAAAUUCGUAGAUAUUGGGAAGAACACCGAUGGCGAAGGCAGCCAUCUGGACCGACACUGACGCUGAGGCGCGAAAGCGUGGGGAGCAAAACAGG